rnacentral:rRNA from 1 species
AGCGAACGCUGGCGGCAGGCUUAACACAUGCAAGUCGAGCGGACCUUUCGGGGUCAGCGGCGGACGGGUGAGUAACGCGUGGGAACGUGCCUUCCGGUUCGGAAUAACCCUGGGAAACUAGGGCUAAUACCGGAUACGCCCUUAUGGGGAAAGGUUUACUGCCGGAAGAUCGGCCCGCGUCUGAUUAGCUAGUUGGUGGGGUAACGGCCUACCAAGGCGACGAUCAGUAGCUGGUCUGAGAGGAUGAUCAGCCACACUGGGACUGAGACACGGCCCAGACUCCUACGGGAGGCGGCAGUGGGGAAUAUUGGACAAUGGGCGCAAGCCUGAUCCAGCCAUGCCGCGUGAGUGAUGAAGGCCUUAGGGUUGUAAAGCUCUUUUAUCCGGGACGAUAAUGACGGUACCGGAGGAAUAAGCCCCGGCUAACUUCGUG